rnacentral:rRNA from 1 species
UAAUACUGGAUAGGCAAUUUGUCCGGUAAUGGUUUUUUGUUUAAAUGUGUUUUCGCCUAAGGAUGGGUCUGCGGCCGAUUAGUUAGUUGGUUAGGUAAUGGCUUACCAAGCCUGUGAUCGGUACGGGUUGUGAGAGCAAGAGCCCGGAGAUGGAACCUGAGACAAGGUUCCAGGCCCUACGGGGUGCAGCAGGCGCGAAACCUCCGCAAUGUGAGAAAUCGCGACGGGGGGAUCCCAAGUGCCAUUCUUAACGGGAUGGCUUUUCAUUAGUGUAAAGAGCUUUUGGAAUAAGAGCUGGGCAAGACCGGUGCCAGCCGCCGCGGUAACACCGGCAGCUCUAGUGGUAGCAGUUUUUAUUGGGCCUAAAGCGUCCGUAGCCGGUUUAAUAAGUCUCUGGUGAAAUCCUGCAGCUUAACUGUGGGAAUUGCUGGAGAUACUAUUAGACUUGAGAUCGGGAGAGGUUAGAGGUACACCCAGGGUAGAGGUGAAAUUCUGUAAUCCUGGGAGGACCGCCUGUUGCGAAGGCGUCUGACUGGAACGAUUCUGACGGUGAGGGACGAAAGCUAGGGGCGCGAACCGGAUUAGAUACCCGGGUAGUCCUAGCUGUAAACGAUGCGGACUUGGUGU